UACGAAGGGGGCUAGCGUUGCUCGGAAUCACUGGGCGUAAAGGGUGCGUAGGCGGGUCUUUAAGUCAGAGGUGAAAUCCUGGAGCUCAACUCCAGAACUGCCUUUGAUACUGAGGAUCUUGAGUACGGGAGAGGUGAGUGGAACUGCGAGUGUAGAGGUGAAAUUCGUAGAUAUCGUAAGGAAGACCAGUGGCGAAGGCGAAUCUCUGGACAGUUACUGACACUGAGGCACGAAGGCCAGGGGAGCAAACGGG
rnacentral:rRNA from 1 species